CAUUUCUAGUCUGUAGCACUUAUAAAAUUAUCACAGCUUAAAUGGAGUGUCACAUUAAAAACAGUUUUCAGGUCACCUGAACCAUAGUGAUAGAUGUCUUUGAGGACCACUCCUGCCAAGUUGUGCUUCUCUAGAUUCUACUUCUGUGCCUGAAGGCUUGCAGAGAGUGCUUGGAAAACACUUGCUAGACUUCUCCAGCUAUGGAAGAGUUUCUAAUGAUUUCAUAAGAGAGACCACACUUUGAGCUAUGCAGCUCAAGAGAGCUUAAAGAAAAAAUUAUCAGGGAAGUUGUCAGAACUUUGAAUAGAGCAAGCCAUGAAGACUGGGUGCACUGAGAUAAGAGCAAAGGAUAGAAUACCUGACUUUCCUGCCAGGAGCAUAAAUUUAACUGGAGUUCAUAAUGGAAGAGAAGUAUGUUCAACUGGAAAAGAGAUGAUGGAAGUCAGAAAAUACUUAGUUUCAACAUUUUCCAAGAAAAUAAGCAGAAAUUUUGAUAUCUGAAUUUAUGUUAUAGAAGGAAUUCUUGCUGGUAGGUACUUGUAUAAAUUUCUUCUCUUCGAAACAUGAGUGUCUAUUAAAAGUCAGCUUUAAAAACUGUUUUGAUUACCUUAGUGCAUUCAACAGUUUUUUGAUUUUUUUUCCAUAUUCUGCUGUUAUUCUAACAAAGAUUAGCUAGCCCAUUAUUCCACAUAUGAUUGCUUUGAAGAGUUUUACACUGUAACAUCUGUGGAAUUAGUAGGUGUUGCCACAGAAGGAUGUGGAUGGAGAAGUUUGUCAGUGCACGAAAGCUAUGCAUGUAUAUUCUUCAGUGUAUGGGAACUGCUGAAUCAUGGCCUGAACCUGAUUGAUCACCUGAGGCAAGCAAUGAGUCAGCCCUGGGAGCUCAGGUGAAGGCAAUUCACCUGUGUUGCUGGAAAGGGUGGAGCCUGGCUCCAUCUCUCCUAGACCCAUUUAAGAGCUGACUGCCAGUGGGAAAGUUCUCUUUCUGAAAAAUUCCUCCUUUGGAGCUUUACAGCCAACCCAGAACAAGGGUCCCAGGUCAGUACAUCACUCUCACAGCCCUUCACAAGACUGGUAGAACAUCACUAGUGAGAACAGCCUUCAUUUAAUGCUGGCAAUAAGCUAAGACAUCUCACUACUGAUCCACACAAAUGCAUCCUAAUCACAGGAGGUCAACCAGCCUGCCAACCUAGCUCUUCAGGUGAUUCAAAUGAAGACAUCAGAAGAAAAGAGAUAGUAAGCAGCUGGCCUACCUUACUCCUUUGUUGACUAUAAGAAUAUGUCCUUGUGCUGCUUCAGGCCCCUUCUGUGGAGAACUGUGAUCCCAGGACUGAAGACAAGAAAAAUCUGCUGCCUAAAGGGAAGGAGCAAUCUCCAAACUGCGUGCCUGCAAGAGAGCAGACCGAUAGUCAAGAGCUCUGUACUAGUAAGUGCCCAGGAGUCUGCUGCCACUGCAGGGCGUUGCUGCCUGCUGUACACCUGGUUAAGGCUUGAACUGCUGCCUGCUACACCUCUGAAAAGGAAUGGGAACAAACUUGGCAGUGGCCAUCUCCAGUGGUGCUUGUGGGUUUGCUUUGUGUUUAAUGCAGGCUCAUAUCGUGAGACCAGAAUGCAGACAUUAUCAGAGAGUGUAAAUACUACUGCAGUUAGAUCAGCUACUUUUUUCAAAUUUCUUUAAUGUUUUAUAUUCUAACACAUGAAAUUGGCUUUUAAUUGCUCCCCUGCAAGGUCUGUUUACCUCUGCCCAAGAGAGAGAAAAAAUGGAGACUGGAGCCUCUAAAGUGGUCUGAUAUCAGUCUGAGCUGAGGGACACAAGCACACAGCAGGGAUGGCAAAAGAAUGAUCCUGGUUUUGUUACACAGGAAGGAUAUAAGAACUUAAAUUGUACAAUAUGUAUAAUGCACUAAGUCCAAUAUCUUAGCAUCUGUAUUCAACAUCAUAACUGGAAUCUGUAAGAAAACUUAACAAUUGGAUUUAAAAUGAAUCCAUACCUCUGAAGUCACAUACAUACAAUCUAUAUACCUUAAUACAUAAAUAGGAAGACUGCAUUUUGCAUUUAGGAUUAUAAAUUGUUCACUUGGAAGUGCUAGAAGUUAGUGGCAGGUAGAAAGCAAAACAAAGUUCAGAAAAUGUAGGACUUCGGGAUUAAUAUGCUUUAAAAUAUACUUGCUGUAGACUCUUGAGUUCGGCAUACAUUGUUCACAUGAAAUAUUUUUAGUGGGAUGGGACAUUCCUCAAGAUAGUGAGAAAAUGAGGCAGUCAUCAGUAUAGACCAGAAUUCUUGUAUACAGAAAUUAAAUGAACACAGCAAGACUGUGCUACAACUAUGGCUACAUAGUCAUUUUAACAGCACAUGCAUUUGUGAGAAAGAAAAUUAAAUCUGAAGUUCUGCAUCAUUACAGCAAAUUUUGAUGACAAAUAAAGCAUCAGACAAUGAAUGUCUAAGAAUGAAAAAGGAUUACUCAUUUAAAAAUGUUCUCUGAAUUGUUUCUAUUAGCACUACAUAUGAUUUUCUGAAAGUGCAACGAAAUUUUGGCUGCAAAAAUGAAACAUGAAAUUCCCACUGCCUGCCAGUUUUAAUCAAAUAUAGGGUUCAGCUUGAAGGCUGAAAUGGUGCUGUGGGAAGUAGGGCUGGCUGUCUCCCAUUAAAGGCCUGCAAACUUUUUUUUGUUGUUAAGUUUGUGUGUGGAGUCUUAUCUGACUCCUUACUAAGUCUGGAUGACUGGGCAACAUCCCAAAAAUACCUUCUCACAUGUUUAGCUUUAUGGGAGUUUCAUUCCCAUCUCCUGCUGAGGCCCCAAUAUCCUCUGCAUUUGUUACCUGGCGGCUGUGUUAUUGCAGCCUCCUGUUCCCAAAGCUGGAUGUAAGACAAUGUGCCAGCUCCAGAUGUGGCAGAAGGAGGCUGUCUGCCUUGUGCUUAGCUUAGAUCGCUGCAAUUGCCUCAUGCCAGUGCCCAGGUCCUUCUUUCAGCUCCAGGUGAUUCCUGGUGCUAGGUUAGGGCCCUUGGUGAGUGACCCCAAUGCAGCUGAAAGCCACCAAGGCUCAGAACAAAGCCUUCAGGAGCUCAGGACAAAGCACUUUUUUGGAGGUAAUUUAGUACUGGAAAAACUUUCAAUUCAUAUCAGGUAAAGACAGAAUCCGACCAUCUUUAGAAAACAACGGAAACCUUCCCCACAAAGAAUGCUUUCCAUCAGAAGCACAGCUCGCUUCAAAUUUCAAGCUCUUUCAUUUGCCUUCUUAAAAAAACAACAAACACUGACUGAAUUUCGUCCCCCCAAAAGCAGAAAUGCUAUAUACUGCAGUGGCAGCAGCUAUUUUUCUAGGGCUCUCGGCUGACAUGUAGGCUAUAUUAUGAGGACAAGAACUUACUUACAGGAUGAGGUAAAAUGGUAAAAUUUGUUUAACUUUGAAUUCUAAUUCCUGACAUUAAAGAAAGAAGACACAAAUCACAUCGGCUUGGUGCAAACUGACUUGACCAAUGCAAGUUCUGAUAGGUAUGCCUUGCAACAACAGGCUUCAAGUUUAAUCAGGAACUGGCUUUUACCACACUGCCAGCACAUAGCUAUCAGGAAAGCAUAAAGCCAAAAUAAACUCUGUAUCAUGUGCUCUGCCAAACUUGGCAGAAAAGGGACCCUGUGCCCGGGGCUAAUUUAGGUCCAAAUCACUGCUAGAUAACAACACAGAGCUGUAAUUCAACAGUAAUGGUUGUGGUGCUAUAGAAAAGUAGGUUUUUUUUAAUUGUAUUUUAACCAUUGCUUGGCUACAGUCUUGCUGUUGCUAUAGUCCGAGGGCAAUAGAAUAUAGAGGACUCUAAGGGCAAUAGCAAUAGAAUUUUCUCCAAUAUCUUUUGAAUUUAUAAAUAUGUAUAUGUAUGUAUCAUCAUAUGUUUGUAUGGGUUCUAUCAAUUGUGAAAGGAAAUAGGUGUAUGAUUGUAUAAUCAAUGA